CUGCAUGAAGCUGGAAUCGCUAGUAAUCGCGGAUCAGAAUGCCGCGGUGAAUACGUUCCCGGGUCUUGUACACACCGCCCGUCACACCAUGGGAGUAGGUAAUGCCCGAAGUCGGUGACCUAACCGGAAGGGAGGAGCCGCCGAAGGCAGGACUUAUAACUGGGGUGAAGUCGUAACAAGGUAAC
rnacentral:rRNA from 1 species